rnacentral:rRNA from 1 species
AGGUAACGUCAGGGCCUAAGGUUAUUAACCUUAAACUUUCCUCCCUACUGAAAGUGCUUUACAACCCUAAGGCCUUCUUCACACACGCGGCAUUGCUGCAUCAGAGUUUCCUCCAUUGUGCAAUAUUCCCCAC